UAUACGCUUGCGCAAUGUUUUCCGUCACUGGUUUCACUCAGUACGCGCCAAGUAGUCUUGUAACAUCAUCAGCCUGAAGGGGGGUGAGCAAACAUCCAAAGAUGUCCAAGAUUGAGAAGAUGAGCAUCCUGGGUGUCAGGAGUUUUGGAGUGCAGGACAAAGACAAGCAGGUGAUCACGUUCUUCACACCCAUGACCGUUCUGGUUGGACCCAAUGGAGCAGGCAAAACGACCAUCAUCGAAUGUUUAAAGUACAUCACUUCGGGUGACUUUCCCCCAGGAGCCAAGGGUGCAAAUUUUGUUCAUGAUCCCAAGGAUGCCCAGGAGACUGAUGUGCGUGCUCAGAUCCGUCUGCAGUUCCGAGAUGUGAAUGGUGAGUUUGUGGCCGUGCAGCGGUCCAUGCAGUGCUCGCAGAGACGGAAGAAGGUGGAGUUCAAGACCCUGGAGGGAGUGAUCACCAGGAUGAAGCAUGGAGAAAAAGUAAGCAUCAGCUCGAAGUGUGCUGAGAUCGACCGUGAGAUGGUCGCGGGUCUUGGCGUCUCCAAGGCCAUCCUUACCAAUGUCAUUUUCUGCCAUCAAGAGGACUCCAACUGGCCGCUCAGCGAAGGGAAGGCCCUGAAGCAGAAGUUUGAUGACAUUUUUGCAGCUACUAAGUACAUAAAAGUGCUGGAGACACUGAGACAGCUGCGUCUGAAGCAGAGCUCGGUGGUCCGUGAGUGCCAGACGGAGCUCCAGUACCUGAAGCAGAACAAGGAGAAAGCCCAGGAGAUCAGUGACCUGCUGGCCAACAAGGAGGAGCAGCUGGCCGCUUCCAAAGACAGUGUGGAGCGCAUAGCCGGCCAGAUCACUCCUCUAGAGAACCAGCUGCUGGAGAAUGAUGAAAAGCUAGGCAAAGUGGUGACCCUGGAUAACAACAUCAAGGCCUUGGAGAGCAGAAAGAAACAGAUGGAGGAGGACAACAAAGAGCUGGAGGAGAAGAUGGAACAGCUGUUCGAGGGGUCGGACAGAGAGCUGCAGGACAUGUAUGAGAAUCACCAGCGGCUGGUGAAUGAGAAGGAGCGGCGUCUGACUGAGCAGCAGAAUGAGCUGCACCGGGCAGGGCGCGAGUGCCAGAGGCUCACCAACACCAAGUCGGAGCUGCUGGUCGAGCAGGGUCGCCUUCAGCUGGAGGCUGACCGCCAUGGCCAGAGCCUGAAGAACCGUGACACCCAGGUGCGCUCGCUGGCCUCGUCACUGGAGCUGGAGGGUUACGAGCGAGCGCCCUUCAGCCGCCCGCAGAUCCAGAGCUUCUACCAGCAGGUGGAGGAGAGGCUAGAGCAGGAAGCCCAGGCGCUCCGACUGGUCAUGAAUGAUCUGCAAGAGCGGGAGACCCAGAAGCAGCAGAGCCUAGACGAGAUGCGAGACAAGCGCACGGGCCUGGAGCGCACCAUCGAGCUGAAGCGUGACCUCCAGAGCAAGAAGCAGCAGGAGCUGCGUGCCGUUAACCAGGAGCUGCAGCGACUGGAGGGCUCGUCCGGGCGCCUGCACGAGCUGGAGGCCCAGUUGGCCAAAGUGGAGCAUGAGCUUGAAAGUGCGACGCGUAACUCCUCGGUGGACAGCAUGCGAGCAGAGCUGGAUGAGCUUAAGAGAGAGAAGGACGACCUUGACCGCAAGCAGAGGCAGCUGGACCUAGAGAUGAGCAGCCUCAACACACACACCACCGCCCGCACUCAGAUGGACAUGCUCAAGAAAGAUAAGGUGGAAAAGGAAGAGCAGGUGCGGAAGAUUAAAGCCAGGCACUGCGAGGACCUGGUGUCCCUAAUGGGACACUUCCCCAACAAGAGAGAGCUGGAGGACUGGAUCUUCUCCAACUCCAGGGAGAUCAACUCUACCCGAGAGAAACUGGGCAAACUUAAUAAGGACUUGGCCUCGGGAGAGCAGAACAGGAACAACUGUGCGGCCGAGAUUCGCCAGAAGGAGCAGCAGCUGGCUAGUUAUGAGGAGAGGCUCUUCAGUGUAUGUGGCAGCCAAGACCUGCAAUCGGACCUGAGCAAACUCCAGGAGGACAUUGAGAAGAACUCCAAGCAGAGAGCCAUGCUGGCAGGCGCCACAGCCGUGUACACUCAGUUCAUCAGUCAGCUGACGCAACCGGAGGAGGGCGAGCCCUGCUGCCCUGUGUGCCAGCGCAUAUUCUCCACCGACAGUGACCUGCAGGAGGUGAUCAACGACAUGCAGUCCAAGCUGCGCCUGGUGCCUGACAAGCUCCGGAACACUGAGCAGGACCUGAGGAGGAAGGAGCGGAGGCGCGACGAUAUGAUGGCCCUGAAGCCCGUCAGGGAGACCAUUACUGACCUGCAGGAGAAGGACCUUCCCACGCUGCGGAACAAACUCCAGAGCAUCAACCGGGACAUUGAGCGCCUGAAGGGGGACAUCGAGGAGCAGGAGACGCAGUUGUCUCUGCUCAUGUCCAAAGAGGACACAGCCAAGGCAUGUCAGUCCGACAUCUCGCUGAUGGACCGCUACCUGAUGGACCUGAAGGACGUGGAAAGGAAGAUAGCUCAGCACGCUGCCAAGCUGCAUGGAGUGGACUUGAGCCGCACCAUGCAGCAGGUCAGCCAGGAGAAACAGGAGACACAACACCGGCUGGACACCACGUCAAGUAAGAUGGAGCUGAAGCGCAAGCUGAUCCAGGAGCAGCAGGAGCAGAUCCACACACUGAAGAGCAACAUGAACGAGGUCAGGGCCGAGAAGCUCCAGAUCAGCAGCAACAUGCAGAAACAGAAGCAGUUAGAGGAUCAGUGUGUGGAGUUUACCACUGAGGUCCAAGCCCUCACCAGAGAAAUAAAGGAAGCUAGGGAGCAGGUGUCACCACUAGCUGCCACUCUGGAGAAGCUGCAGCAGGAGAAGCAGGAGCUAAUGGUUCGUCGCUCACAGAAACAGAACGAGGGCCAAGAAAAGAUCAAUGCAAUAAAGGACAAAGUGAAAAAUAUUAUGACACUUGAGCGGGAAAUCAAGAAGUACGUUGAUGAAGGAAAAGAUGAGUAUAAAGAGCAAAAAGAAGCAGAACUUCAGGAGACAAACAGAAAACUUUAUGAAGCAGAAACACUACGAGAGAAGAUCAACAAAGAAAUGGCCAGCAUCAGGCAAGACAUAGACACACAAAAGGUCCAGGAACGCUUGCUGCAAGAUAAUCUCACCUUCAGGAAGCGCAGUGAGCAACUCAAAGAUGUUUCAAAACAGCGAGAAGCUCUUCUGAAGGAAAUGGGCAACAUGAGAGUCCUGGAGCUCCGCCAACAACGGAAAGAUCUUGAGGACAAACUGGAAGAGUUGAAGAGGAAACGUAGUGUGGCGCUGGGAAGACAGAACGGCUUCAAGGAGGAGAUCCUCCGCUGCCAAAAGGAGCUGCGAGAAGACCAGUACCGCCACGCCGUGGACCGCUUCAGGGACAAGAUGAUUGUAAUGAGAACCACUGAGCUCAUCAACAAAGAUCUGGAUAUCUACUACAAGGCCCUAGAUCAGACAAUUAUGAAGUUCCAUAGCAAGAAGAUGGAGGAAAUAAACAAGAUCAUUCGGGACCUGUGGAGAAACACCUACCGAGGACAAGAUAUUGAGUAUGUGGAGAUCCGCUCAGACAUGGAUGAGAGUGAGUCUGCCAAGAACAAGAGGAGGAUCUACAAAUACCGUGUGGUGAUGGUUAAGGGGGAUGCUGCGCUCGACAUGAGAGGUCGCUGCAGUGCUGGACAGAAGGUCUUGGCUUCACUCAUUAUCCGGCUGGCUCUGGCAGAAACCUUCUGCCUCAACUGUGGCAUCCUGGCCCUGGAUGAGCCUACCACAAACCUGGACCGUGAGAACAUUGAGUCUCUUGCUCAUGCACUUAUAGAAAUCACAAAGAUUCGACAGAAGCAACGCAACUUCCAGCUGCUCAUCAUCACUCAUGAUGAAGACUUUGUGGAGCUGCUGGGUCGCUCAAAUUACAUGCAGUAUUUCUACAGAAUAAAGAAAAAUAUUGAGCAGUGCUCAGAGAUCACCAAGUGUGAUAUCAACUCUGUCAAUACUUACCUGCACUAAAAAGACUCUGAGGUUGUGCAGUUAGCCGUUUAGCUGCAGUUCAUGUUCCUUUUUGCACUUAAUGUGAAACUAAUGAUUCACUUGUCGAUGUUAUUGAAUGAAGUAUUUGUGGAAGUGUCUUAUACCAUAAUAAGAAGUGGCCUUGCCAUGGAAAAUAUGAACAGAAUUAAAACAAAAACUUUGAUUGUGA